AGGGCAAAUGGUGGAUGCCUUGGGACUAGACGCGAUGAAGGACGUGGCGUAGCUGCGAUAAGCUUCGGUAAGGUGUGUAGCAACCUGUGACCCGGAGAUCUCCUAAUGGGAAAACCCAAUCUUGGUUAUACAAGAUUAUCUUUUUGCGAAAGCUUAAAGAAGCAAACCUGGUGAAGUGAAACAUCUCAGUAGCCAGAGGAAAAGAGAACAAUAGUGAUUCCCUUAGUAGCGGCGAGCGAAGAGGGAAAAGCCCAAAACCAUAUUUAUAUGGUGGUUGUAGGGAGAUAACGUCUUUUAGUAGAGGAAGUUUAAAAGUUAAGUUAAUUAAUUGAAGUUUCUGGAAAGAAACGCCAUAGAAGGUGAUAGCCCUGUAAGUGAAAAUUAAUUUACACUUCUUGUUAUCUUUCCUGAGUACCGUCGGAUCAAGAAAAGUCGGCGGGAAUCCAGCAGGACUACCUGCUAAGGCUAAAUACAAUCUAGUCACCGAUAGUGAACCAGUACCGUGAGGGAAAGGUGAAAAGCAGUCCGAUAAGGACGGUGAAAUAGAACCUGAAACCAUUAUGCCUACAAGGAGUCAGAGCUAUUUUUUAAAUAGUGAUGGCGUGCUUUUUGCAGAACGAGCCAACGAGUUUUUCUUGUCAAUUGUCUAAGUGCUUAUGGCACGUAAGCUUAGGGAAACCAAGUCUUAACAGGGCGAUUAAAAAUUGGCAGGAAAAGACCCGAAGCCAGACGAGCUUACCAUGACCAGGAUGAAACUUGCAGAAAUGCAAGCGGAGGUCCGAACCCGUAGGUCGUGCAAUUCCUUGGGAUGAGUUGUGGUAAGGAGUGAAAAGCUAAUCGAGUUUGGUAAUAGCUGGUUCUUCCCGAAAUAGUUUUAGGACUAGCCUCUCUGCUCAGUAUUUUGGAGGUAGAGCACUGAAAGGGAUGCUGCGGCUUCGGCUAGGCAUUUCUAUCAAACUCCGAAUGCCAAAAUAUAUACAGAGGGAGUCAGACAGUGGGAGCGAAGUUCCAUUGUCGCGAGGGAAACAGCCCAGAUCGUCAUCUAAGGUCCCUAAAUCUAAACUAAGUGUUAGUAAGGAGGUGAAAUUUCUCAGAUAGCUAGGAGGUUAGCUUAGAAGCAGCUAUCCUUUAAAAAGUGCGUAACAGCUUACUAGUUAAGAGAUUUUGCGCCGAAGAUUCCCGGGACUAAAGUUUAGUACCGAAGAUACGACUUGGUAUUUUUAAUACCAGGGGUAGGGAAGCGUCCUUAUUGCGCUGAAGCUGAACCGUGAGGUUCUGUGGAGCGAUGAGGAGUGAGAAUGUUGGCAUAAGUAACCACAAUUGAAGUGAGAUUCUUCAACACCGUAAAUCCAAGGUUUCCUUGGCAAUGUAGAUCAACCAAGGGUUAGGCGGGCCUUAGGAGAAGCCGAAAGGUUUAUCUGAUGGACAGCCGGUUAAUAUUCCGGCCCUCUAACAUUUUUCUGAAGGGUGACGCGAUUUAGUAGCUUAGGCGGAUUAUUGGAUUUCCGUCGAUCAUUUGAGGGGCAACCCAAGAAUGGGCGCGAAGGUUGUCUUCGGACAAUUUAAGCUAAGUGAGCAAGUCGACAAGAAAAGCCCGCAAGGCUAAGAAUGUUGGAUCCGUACUAAAACCGACACAGGUGGAUGGGCACAAGUGUGCCAAGGUGAACAAGUGAAAGAUCCUGAAGGAACUCGGCAAAAAAGUGAUCGUAACUUAGGAAUAAGAUCUGCCUUUCUUUGCAAGAAGAAAGGCCGCAGCAAGCGUUUCUCUAGCGACUGUUUAUCAAAAACACAGGUCCCUGCUAAUUCGUAAGAGGAAGUAUAGGGGCUGAGGCCUGACCAGUGCCGGAGUGUUAAAAGUGGCGGUUGCUCCGCUCUUGUUUCAUGAGACGAUCCUGAGUUCUUGUAAGUAGUUUGAUUAGUUAAGAUAGUAAUAAUUUAAUGUGUCUUUUUUUUAAAAUAGGUAAGACAUAUUGCGAUAUUAAGGAACUCAGAGAUUGUGUUCGUGGACCGAGAGCGGAGCAGCUGACUGCUCCAAGCCUCCGGUGAACGUCCGCGGUAACUCUGACCGUGUUAAAGUAGCGUAAUCCCUUGUCGGGUAAGUUCCGACCCGCAUGAAAGGCUUAACGACUUGAGAACUGUCUCCAGGAGUUGCUUGGUGAAAUUGCAGUGGAGGUGAAAAUGCCUCCUACCUGUGGCUAGACGAGAAGACCCCAGGAGCUUUACUAUACCCUGGUAUUGAAUUAUGGCUUUAAAUGCGUAGAAUAGGUGGGAGACUAUGAUGUCAUGCUUUCGGGCGUGACGGAGUCGCCAGUGAAAUACCACUCUUUUAUUGUCAUGGUUCUAACCUCCAUGCUUUAUUUAGAGCAUGGGGAGACAGUGCUUGGUUGGUAGUUUAAGUGGGGCGCUUUCCUCCUAAAAAGUAGCGGAGGAGUUUAAAGGUUGGCUAGAUCCGGAUGGAAAUCGGAUUGGUCCUACAAAGGGAUAAGCCAGCUUAACUGCAAGGCGGAUAUGCUGCGCAGAUGGGAAACCAGAACUUAGUGAACCGACCUUGGUUCGUAGGACCGAGGGAGAUCAUCAAAUAAAAGCUACCCUGGGGAUAACAGGCUGGUAGUGUCCAAGAGUCCAUAUCAACGACACUGUUCGGCACCUCGAUGUCGGCUCAUCACAUCCUGGGGCUGUAGAAGGUCCCAAGGGUUUGGCUGUUCGCCAAUUAAAGUGGUUCGCGAGCUGGGUUCAGACCGUCGUAAGACAGGUUGGUUUCUAUCUACCACAGGCGCCGAGUCUUGAGAAGAGUUGCCCCUUGUACGAGAGGAUCGGGGUGAACCAAUCUCUGGUGUACCAGCUGUCAUGCCAAUGGCACUGCUGGGUAGCUAUAAUUGGGAAAGGAUAAGAGCUGAAAGCAUCUAAGCUCGAAGCCUACUUCAAGAUUAGGACUCAUACUCAGGUUAGAGACUAUGACCUUGAUAGGGUGCAGGUGUAAGUUCUGUGAAGAAUUGAGCCGAGCACUACUAAUUGAGACUUGAAAUAAGU
rnacentral:rRNA from 1 species